rnacentral:rRNA from 1 species
AGAAUCAACGCUGGCGGCGUGCCUAACACAUGCAAGUCGCACGAGAAAGGGUAGCAAUACCUGAGUAAAGUGGCGCACGGGUGAGUAACACGUGAAUAAUCUACCUCCGAGUGGGGAAUAACCUAGAGAAAUCUGGGCUAAUACCGCAUAACACUUACGAGUCAAAGCAGCAAUGCGCUUGGAGAGGAGUUCGCGGCAGAUUAGCUAGUUGGCGGGGUAAUGGCCCACCAAGGCGAUGAUCUGUAUCCGGCCUGAGAGGGCGCACGGACACACUGGAACUGAAACACGGUCCAGAUCCUACGGGAGGCAGCAGUGGGGAAUUUUGCGCAAUGGGGGAAACCCUGACGCAGCAACGCCGCGUGGAGGAUGAAAUCCCUUGGGAUGUAAACUCCUUUCGAUAGGGAAGAUAAUGACGGUACCUAUAGAAGAAGCCCGGACUAACUUCGUGCCAGCAGCCGC